UUCUGCUCUGCUGGUAUUUUGUGAGUGAGCCUAGGAUAGGGUUCCAGGUAGAGAAGAACUACAUCCCUAAGAGGACGGAGAACUGUCAGCUGUUCUGUUAACACUUCUGCUCAGAGCAAAAGAAGGAGAAAAGAAGGGAUGGAAAAGACUCUACAUAUGAUCUGGUAUUCAGAAGCAGCAGACUUUAUCAUGUCACUGAGAUACCAUCUUAUGCUAAGAAAAAAAACCCAAACAACUAUAAAUCAAGACAGUGAAAAAGAGCUUUUCUUCCUGGAAAGGCUUUUGUGCAGGUCAUAAACCAUCAGAUUCCUGAUAACACUGGCAAAUGGAGGAGGUGCUUACUUCCAUUAUUUUAUGAGUUGUAUGUCAGUGUCUGUUGAAAACCAUUCAGUACUGAAGACUGCAAAUUAUUAAGCAAAAAUUCAGAAAUUUUGUUCCAUCAAAAGUUUGCAGAUGGAUAUUACAGAGCACCUUGAAAGAGACACCGUGUCCAGAAAGGAAUUACCUGCUGGAAGUACUUGUCACAGUUAAUGUAUUCCUUAUCAUGGGAAUCUUGCAGCUUAUUUGUUUUGAUGUACUGCCACAGAGCCUGGAUGAUAGCUGAUCGGGUCUGCGUGUGUAUCCCCAGCAAACGGGCCAGCCGUGGGUCCAGUUUGAACUGCGGAGGCUGCAACACAGUGAAAAGGAGGGAGAUGGUAACAGAGAGAAUAACAGGCACCUGCCCAGAUAGAGCUUCAGCUUUAGUUUUCUGAGGACUUUGUUCCACACGUGAAUUGCCCCUUUCAGCGGUGGAAGCUGCAUGAACAGAAAUUGCUCAGAUGUGAAUCCAUGGAAUGACGAUGCCUAGUGCUUGAAAAGGAAGAGGGACACCAUACAUGUGCUGUGCAAACCAGCUACCUGCAUCACGUGCUGCAGACAAUGAGCUGCACAGUCAGAAGUUUCUCUUUACUUUUUAUGCAGUUUGGCUUUAGGGACCAGAAGACAAAAAAGAAUGAUCCUGCCUCAGAACUAAUGGAGAUUAGCCACAAAUUGAGAGCAUGAAUUCAAGAUGACACUUCUGCUCUUCCUAAUAAUCAAUCAGCUGCCUCCCAUCAACAAACUCCGUUGGAACUCUUUUUUCACACAUGCUUCCAAAGUUCCGCUGCACAUCAGGAACUGCACCUGGUUACAACUUGUCAAUGGAAUCUAUUUCUCCUGACUUCUGUGGUACAACUCCUCAAUUGCCCUGCUUUACAUUUCCAGCAAUAUACAUUCUUUAGGUACCCUGGCGUCUGGUGCCUCUUCACAAGUGCACUCAUGCUCAUGUUUAAUAUUUGCCACAUUUUUCUGCAUUGUUGGCUUUCAGGUCACCCAAAGUCAGAUUUAUAACAAGACAAAACUCCAGGUAAGAAAACAUGCUUAAAAGCAUAAAUUUGUACUAAUGGUGAUCAUAACAAACUCUAAAUUUAUUUUCCUAACAGUCAGGAUAGCAGCUAUAUCAGCACCUCAGUUAGGUCAUGCAUUCUCUAAAAUUAAUAAAACUGUCUAUUCUAGGAA